GUGCUCACUUCAGCAGCACAUAUACUAAAAUUGGAAUGAUACAGAGUUUAGCAUGGCCCCUAUGCAAGGAUGAUGUGCAAAUCUGUAGUGUUCCAUAUUUUU